GCCUGUAUGGAAAAAUCGAUUUUUCCAUGCGGGCGCUUAAGUGAGCUGCAUGCGGCCCUCUUAAGAGGUCCGUAUGGGAAAAUCGAUUUUUCCAUACAGGC
rnacentral:pre_miRNA from 19 species